rnacentral:rRNA from 1 species
GGACGAACGCUGGCGGCGGGCUUACCCCAUGCAAGUCGAACGGAAAGGCCCUGCUUUUGUGGGUUGCUCGAGUGGCGAACGGGUGAGUAACACGUGAGUAACCUGCCCUUGACUUUGGGAUAACUUCAGGAAACUGGGGCUAAUACCGGAUAGGAGCUCCUGCUGCAUGGUGGGGGUUGGAAAGUUUCGGCGGUUGGGGAUGGACUCGCGGCUUAGCAGCUUGUUGGUGGGGUAGUGGCUUACCAAGGCUUUGACGGGUAGCCGGCAUGAGAGGGUGACCGGCCACAUUGGGCCUGCGAUACGGACCAGAGUCCUACGGGAGGCAGCAGUGGGGAAUAUUGCACAAUGGGCGGAAGCCUGAUGAAGCAACGCCGCGUGCGGGAUGACGGCCUUCGGGUUGUAAACCGCUUUCGCCUGUGACGAAGCGUGAGUGACGGUAAUGGGUAAAGAAGCACCGGCUAACUACGUG